rnacentral:SRP_RNA from 1 species
UCGUGCUAGACGGGGAGCUAGCGGUGCCCUGUACCCGCAAGCCGCUAUAGCGGGGUCGAAUUCCCUCUCGAGGUGCAGCAUGUCAGGACUGCUGCGGCCAA